rnacentral:misc_RNA from 1 species
CCGAGUGAGGGUUCCUCUCAUGGGCCCGACCUCCCCACCCUGUGUCUAUCACACCUUAUCGUUGCUUCGGCGGACCGGCUGAGGACUCUUGGGUCCUGGGCCGCCGGGGGUGUUGGUCACCCCGGGAGCGCGUCCGCCGAUGGCCCCCCACAACCACUCUUUGUUCCAAAACCAGUCGUCUAAAUCCAACUUGAAGAAUAAAACACA